ensembl:lncRNA
CAAGAUUUUAGAGACAUCUUCUGAAUAUCAGUUUAAAUUAUGGACUGAUAUACUCUAGGGGUGUAACGAUCCAUCUACUACAUCGAUGUAUCGAUAUAUAUUCCUAUGAUCCUACUACAUCGAUCUGUGCUCAGCAAGUUGGCCUUCCGGACGAUAUAUAUCGAUCUAACAUCGUUUUAAAAUGUAAUCAAUCGAUUGUAUCCAUACUAGGAAAUAACCCAUUGGAUUUAAGCACGUCAGACUUUAUAGGAAUGUUUUUUCUUAGCACUUUUAAUGAUAAAGGCGAUAAACGUUACUCGAUUCAGUCUGCCUAUCCGUGACGUCAUCGCCCCGGGCCAGCAGCAGCGCAAAGACAACAAAACAUAGCGAGGCAGAUGGCAGAGGAGAAGCCGACGAGCGAGAAAUUAUCAAGCCACCAUUGCGGUCCAGUGUGUGGAAAGUGUUGGUUGCACUUUAUUUUUGAUAUUAAUACUGUAUUUGUAUUAUUUCUAUGUUGAAAUACAACAGCAAAAGUAGCAGAUACCUGAUUCCCUUACAAGAAACAACAGGAAUCUAGGAAACUUCACCUGCACUGUCCAGUAUCCAGGUGGAAAUGUUAAAAACGGUUGAUUGUGAUUCCGCCGGAUUCAAAAGGAUACACAGGAUCCCCGAUCAAGACUGAAUCCUGUACAUUGUUCCUCUACAAGAGGACCUUGAUCUUCAUCCAGUCCCUGCACAUUCCAGAGUAUUCGAAGAAAUGCCAAAACCAACAUGUCAAAUGUGCAACCAAAACAUGCCACUACAGAUGCUGGCUCUUCAUAUCCAGGAACAGACUGAAGUUGAAUUCAUCUCUGAAAUAAAGUCCCCUUUUGCCCGUCAAAACAGCCCUGACCCAUAGAGGCAUGGAUUCCACCCGACCUCUGAAGGUGUGCUGUGGUAUCUGGAACCAAGACAUUAGGUCUUUACACAAACCUGGGGCUUUGUAGGACCUUCAGAUUCUUGUUUGUCGCGGGGAAACAUUCCUGUCAGGGGAACUGAUCAGUGUGACUGAAUGAAAACUUCCAAAUUCACACCUUCUGAGUAAUCCUGUUGCACAAUUUGUUUAACGCUAUGAAAAAACACACUUCACCAACAGCAUCUGAGCUCUGCUAAAUCAGCUGAUGUACCAUCAAUGAGAACGUGCCAAAUGACUUGCAAUUACAGCCUGUAAAUCAGCUCUUUAACAUCAUGUAUGGAUUUGGUCUCAGACUGAACCCAUGUCAGGACUGAGUCCCUGAGGUUUCCUGUGAAGCAGCGGGCCCUUUGGAAGAGCAACAUGAGUGUCUUCACCUGCAUGUCUUCUGUCAUGAAGUUCAAGGGUAUUAAUAGUUAAUAGGACGUCUGUGGGGAACUAAUAGUCUCUGUAACCCCCCAGUAAAACAUUUCUGUAAUCCCCCAGUAAAACAUUACUGUAAACCCCCAAUUAAGCAUUUCUGUAACCCCCCAGUAUAGCAUUUCUGUAAUCCUCCAAUAAAGCAUUUCUGUAAACCCCCAGUAAAACAUUUCUGUAAUCCCCCAGUAAAACAUUACUGUAAACCCCCAGUAAAACAUUUCUGUAAACCCCCAAUUAAGCAUUUCUGUAAACCCCCAGUAAAGCAUUUCUGUAAACCCCCAAUUAAGCAUUUCUGUAACCCCCCAGUAUAGCAUUUCUGUAAUCCUCCAAUAAAGCAUUUCUGUAAACCCCCAGUAAAACAUUUCUGUAAACCCCCAAUAGAGCAUUUCUGUAAUCCUCCAAUAAAGCAUUACUGUAAACCCCCAGUAAAACAUUUCUGUAAACCCUCAAUUAAGCAUUUCUGUAAACCCCCAGUAAAGCAUUUCUGUAAACCCCCACUAAAACAACACCAUUAUUCCUCACAAUUCAAGAUCACACUAUCUGGUUUUACACCAUUGAGCCAAUAAGGAGUAGCUCACACCCUUAUAACCCAAGGUAGUGACACCUGUUUUCUAAAACCCCCAGAGAUACAUUCACACUUCAGGUUUCCUACCUAGAAACUGUAUCAAAUGUCUGAGGCUUUGGGGUUUUAAAGGAUGGUUCCUAAUUUCCUAAAAAUAUAGAUGGCUGAUGAAAUAGCCCCUUAUUAUAUAUAAAGGUAUGAAACAGUAGACAUUUAGAUUUCUAUUAAGAGAUUAGUUAUACAGUGUAGCAGGCUCAGGGGUGUGGUGUUUCCAUGUCACCAAGGUCAAAAACAGCAGCACAGAAAGCAGGACCAGAAUGCAGUUGGGGUGUUUAUUAGAGGUGUUUGUACACAGUGGGGGAGAAAAUAAAGAGGAAUUCAUCAACCAAUUCACCGUCCUCAUCGUUCGUUGUCCUUUAUCCAGGUCCUCAUCCAAAACCCCCGGUCCUCAUCUAAAACCCAGGACCUCAUCCAAAACUUGUGUCCUUGUCCAAACCAGUUUGUUACACCAGUAAUCAGGCAGUCCAGGUCAUAACAGGCACUCACACAGAUCAGGCUGUCAAUACACACACUCUCCAUACCACACAUUGUCUUCCCCAAUUGGGCUGCCUGCUUCCUCCUUUAUCCCCAAGUACUCAACGGCUUAAUGAUGCUCAGACCUCCCUCGUUGGGGAAGUCCAUAGUAGGCUUGGGGGUGAAGUCUGCGGGCCACCAGAUAUCUUCCCCCAAUCACCCCUCACCAUCUCCCCACCACCUGACACAACUGUUAAGAUGUGACAACACAACAUUUAAGAUGUGACAACACAACAUUUAAAUUGUGACAACACAACAUUUAAGAUGUGACAACACAAUAUUUUAAAUGUGACAACACAACAUUUAAAAUGUGAUGUCUCUGAUUUAGAGAGGUAUAACUAUUGAAUGAGAAUAAUUAUACUGAAAACUCAAGACAUUACAGACCAAUAAUUUUCUGUUUAUACUUGAACAUAAGUAUUCACUCCCCUUGGACUUCAAUGAGUUGUAAACAUAGUUGACUGGAGAGUGACCUGGAUGUGAACAUAAUUGACUGGAGAGUGACCUGGAUGUGAACAUAGUUGACUGGAGAGUGACCUGGAUGUGAACAUGGUUGACUGGAGAGUGACCUGGAUGUGAACAUAGUUGACUGGAGAGUGACCUGAAUGUGAACAUAGUUGACUGGAGAGUGACCUGGAUGUGAACAUAGUUGACUGGAGAGUGACCUGGAUGUGAACAUAGUUGACUGGAGAGUGACCUGGAUGUGAACAUAGUUGACUGGAGAGUGACCUGGAUGUGAACAUAGUUGACUGGAGAGUGACCUGGAUGUGAACAUAGUUGACUGGAGAGUGACCUUACCCCUUGUGAAUGUCACCAGGACGACCAACCCUCGUCUGUUGUUCAGAAGUUAACAGAGAGGAUAAUGUGAUGGAAAUUUCAUGUAUCGACACUCUUAAAGAAGUAAGAAACAGAGACAAAGUUCUCUUGGCACAUUCUAAUAGUUUUAUUAACUAUUAUACAAAAUCAACAUUGAUUUUGUAUAAUAAUUAAUAAUCCUCUGAUAUUAUACAGACAUGUGUGUCACAAUCAAAGUACAGAUUUAUAUAUCAGCCAAUGGAAAGACGGACAUUUCUCAAAUGCACCUUAGUUCAAAAUUUCCAUAACAAUAACUGGAGACUUUGAUCCUAAGAAAUAAAAGACUGAUGCCAUAUGGAACACUUUAACAAAGAUCUUGUUUGAUCUUAGCUGAACAAAGACACCAAAUGUAGACUAGUUCAACAUGAUCAUUCUCCCAUUUAGAAGUAAAUCUACUGCAACCAGAGAGUAUUCAGAAUGUACCGAUUCCAAAACUGAGCCUACGCCAGACAACACAACAAUGAAUCAAUGUAGUAAUCUCCAUUUAUUAAAAAUACUUAAACAAUAUUUAUACAUCAGUAUUCAUAAACAUAAACAAUUCCUCGAUAUUACAAAUAUAAUUACAUGACCCUUAAACUGUAUCAGAACAGUCAACAUUAUGACUAUUUAACUAGUAAAACAACUGUUAAAAAACAGUACAUUGUAUCAAUCAAUCACAUUUAUUUAUAAAGCCCUUUUUACAUCAGCAGUUGUCACAAAGUGCUUUUACAAAACACUCGGCCUUAAACCCCAAGGAGCAAACAACAGUAGUGUUGAGCAAAUCUAAAUAUCUAAAUUCAUGAGGAAUAUCUACUUAGUUUCAAAGUGGACUUGCCAAAAUCUGAAAGUUGUCAAUAAGUUUUCUAAACACGUUACAUGCUAAUAAUCAGCAUUAUUGUUUCUCAGUUUAUAUUUUUAUUUUAACCUUUAUUCAUAUUAGCAAGAUCUGAUGAUGUUUCACCAGAUCUCAAACCUCUUGUCUGUCAGGAAGGGCCUUCUGUCCUUGAUUCUGUUGUUGUAGAGCCUGUAGAGAAAAACUCUGUUGUUGCUGUUGUGUCUUAAGAAAUGUCCCAACAUUAUAAUUAUUAUUGUUGUUACCAUUCUGAUUAAACACUUUUCAGAAUCUUGACAGUUUCAACGUGUUUCCACAAAACCCUUCAUAUGUAGUUUCUUCUUUGAAAUUAAAUGUCUGAUCCUCCUUGAUGACCUGGCAGGAUUCACAUGCAACUGGGUCAUCAAGAAGAAACCAAAAAUGAAGUGGCAUAUGCCACCCCGUUGACUACAUUAAAACGGCACUGCCCAUUGGCAUAUGGAAUGAUGGGAAAUAUACAGAGAUUCAUCUUCUCAGCACCACCUUCCUAGGUGUCGAGGUGCCACAUUUUCAAUCGAGGCCCCCUGGGUUCUGCAAGUAACAGUCUCACGUAUGACACUCAAAUUACCCACGACUGACGGCCACUAUCCUGCGUGGUACGACUCCAACACGUCGGUGGACAUUCAAACCUCAGGAAACUCCUUGCUGCUAUUCCUGCAUUCCAGUUGCACAUGCACCUUCAAUUAGCCUUUUUGCACAUUUAAAAUUGUCAUUUGUACUUGCAUUUGCCUUCAUUGCACAUCUAUACAUCCUAAUUGUAAUAUAUACUAUACUUCAUACUUGUAAAGACUUGAACAUUUCUGCCCUCUUCUAUUUGCACUUCUGGAUAGAUGUUAACUGCAUUUCAUCGUACUGUACUUGUACUGCUGAAUGACAAUAAAGUUUAAUCUAAUCUAUUCUCUCUUUUGUAACACAAACCUGCCCUAAAUGGGGAGGGACUUGAACUGUCCAAUAGAAACUUCCCAUUUUCCUCUGAAAUGUUUACCUACUGAAUACACUAAUAAACACCCCCAGAUCCGAUCAGAGUUUUACCUCAAAGUGAAGCACCAUCUUAAACCUUAAAUACCCUUCUAAUAGUGAACCCACAGUAAAACACAAUGUUGUUUUAACAAAUAAAGGGUGUUCAUACACUUAUUAAAACACACUUACCGUACAGUGUGUAUUGAGGGGUUGGUAGAGACCAGUUGGACUAUUCUCUCAGUCACAGCAUCAGUGAUGUCAUUAUGACUCAGGCUGAGA